rnacentral:rRNA from 1 species
GACGAACGCUGGCGGCGCGCCUAACACAUGCAAGUCGAACGAGCGAGAGAGAGCUUGCUUUCUCGAGCGAGUGGCGAACGGGUGAGUAACGCGUGAGGAACCUGCCUCAAAGAGGGGGACAACAGUUGGAAACGACUGCUAAUACCGCAUAAGCCCACGGCUCGGCAUCGAGCAGGGGGAAAAGGAGCAAUCCGCUUUGAGAUGGCCUCGCGUCCGAUUAGCUAGUUGGUGAGGUAACGGCCCACCAAGGCGACGAUCGGUAGCCGGACUGAGAGGUUGAACGGCCACAUUGGGACUGAGACACGGCCCAGACUCCUACGGGAGGCAGCAGUGGGGAAUAUUGCACAAUGGGGGAAACCCUGAUGCAGCGACGACGCGUGGAGGAAGAAGGUCUUCGGAUUGUAAACUCCUGUUGUUGGGGAAGAUAAUGACGGUACCCAACAAGGAAGUGACGGCUAACUACGUG